UCCGGCUUGUCACCGGCGGUUUCUUCAGAGUGCCCAGCAUAACCUGGUAGCAACUGAAGAUGAGGGUUGCGCUCGUUGCGGGACUUAACCCAACAUCUCACGACACGAGCUGACGACAGCCAUGCAGCACCUGUGUUCCACCCACCCGAAGUGAAGGACCUAAUCUCUUAGGUCCAUAGUGGACAUGUCAAAGGCUGGUAAGGUUCUUCGCGUUGCGUCGAAUUAAACCACAUACUCCACCGCUUGUGCGGGCCCCCGUCAAUUCAUUUGAGUUUCAACCUUGCGGCCGUACUCCCCAGGCGGCAUGCUUAAUGCGUUAGCUGCGACACAAGAGAGCGAAGCCCUCCAACGUCUAGCAUGCAUCGUUUACGGCGUGGACUAC
rnacentral:misc_RNA from 1 species